UUUUUACUGAAAAUAAUUUUAAAUAUUGCCUGCUCAAUGAAAUUUUAAUAGCCGCAGAAAUUUAACUGUGCUAAGGUAGCAUAAUCAUUAGUCUCUUAAUUAGAGACUUGUAUGAAUGGUAAGACAUCUCAAUAACUUUUUUAAUUAUUAAAAUUUAAAUUAAACCAAGAAUAAAAAUGUUCUUAUAAAAAAAAAAGACGACAAGACCCUUUUGAACUUUACUUUAGUUUGGCUGGGGCAGCUAAAUAAUAAUUAUUUUAUUUAUCCUAUUUUAUUAAAUGACCCAUAUACUAUUUGAUUUAUGAACAAGUUACCAUAGGGAUAACAGCAUAAUUUUUUUUUAAAGCUCUUAUUAAAAAAAAAGAUUAUGACCUCGAUGUUGAAUUAAUAUUACUUAUAAAAUGCAACAAUUUAAAAAGUAGGUCUGUUCGACCUUUAAAAUAUUACAU
rnacentral:rRNA from 1 species